UACGUAGGGCGCAAGCGUUGUCCGGAAUUAUUGGGCGUAAAGAGCUCGUAGGCGGCUUUGCAAGUCGGGUGUGAAAGCCCUCAGCUCAACUGAGGAAGUGCGCCCGAAACUGCAGAGCUUGAGUGCCGGAGAGGGUGGCGGAAUUCCCCAAGUAGAGGUGAAAUUCGUAGAUAUGGGGAGGAACACCGGUGGCGAAGGCGGCCACCUGGACGGUAACUGACGCUGAGACGCGAAAGCGUGGGGAGCAAACAGG
rnacentral:rRNA from 1 species